rnacentral:lncRNA from 1 species
CGGGCGCGGAGGCGGGACGGGCGCGGAGGCGGAGGGGCCCAGACAGGAAACUCGAGGAGGCUCGCACGGCCGGAGCCGGGAAGUGGCCUGGCCGGGUGAUAAGCUGGGGCAGCCGGACAGGGUCAGCUCCGGGCGAGCGAGCGAGCGAGCGGCCGGAAAGGAGGCGAGACUAGACGGGCAGCGCCCGCGGGUCCUCCCCACCCCAGCAGGCUGCGCACCGCACCGCACCGCACCGCACCGCACGGCUGCUCUCCCUUCCCGCGUUCUGCCUGCGGGUGCUGCAGCCUGGCCCCCUGAGAGCGCCUUGGCGUUUCUGCAGCGUGUCAGCGCCGGCUUGCCCCACUCCUGAGCGCCCGGCGCCUGCGACCCUGACGAGCUGAGGCUCUCUGGGAACGUGCGUGCCGUGCCAGGUGAACCGCCGGUCCCGGGAGCGGUCCCCUCCGAAGUACUCACCUCUAGGAAAGUCUGGGAAGCUAGAACUCAAAACUGAUUGGCUCUUCCCACGAGGGCUGGUUUCUGAAGCGCCCCUCGCCCAUUUGGUGCAAAAUCUGCAUAUGGAAAAUAUGGGGAGCAGAGGGAAGAAAGGUGAAGUAGAUGAGAGAAGAAAACUUCUAUAGCCUUCAAAGUAAAUGUCAAGUCCAUUGAGAACACUUCAUAACGGCCCCUCCCAGCCAGGAACUGGCUGGCUGAACAGACUCACAUUGUCUCCCUUGGUUCCUUGGCUUUCUGUUCAACACUGAGAAAUACUGCCACCAACGUUCCUCAUCAAGACAUGCCUUCUUAAAAUGCCCACAGAUUAUUCAAGACCUCCAAUCAUGGAAACCAGACACCAAGUGGAAGAGGAGGGUGUGCCGCUGGCCGCUGGUACAAAAUAAAACCAAAGGAGAGA